CAUCGGGCCCUGUGCGACAUGGCCCCGUGAACCAUGUCAGGCGGGGAACCGAGCAGCAUUAAGCGGCCAGCCAUGUGCGCGCAGCAAGCCUGGUGUCC
rnacentral:SRP_RNA from 1 species